rnacentral:rRNA from 1 species
UACGAAGGGGGCUAGCGUUAAUCGGAAUUACUGGGCGUAAAGCGCACGUAGGCGGUUUUUUAAGUCAGAUGUGAAAGCCCCGGGCUCAACCUGGGAAUUGCAUUUGAAACUGGGAAACUAGAGUGUGUGAGAGGGGGGUAGAAUUCCAAGUGUAGCGGUGAAAUGCGUAGAGAUUUGGAGGAAUACCAGUGGCGAAGGCGGCCCCCUGGCACAACACUGACGCUCAGGUGCGAAAGCGUGGGGAGCAAACAGG